UGGGGGAUAUUGCACAAUGGGCGAAAGCCUGAUGCAGCGACGCCGCGUGGGGGAUGAAGGCCUUCGGGUUGUAAACUUCUUUUGCUCUGAACAAGGCAUGCCUUUGGGGUGUGUUGAGUGUAGGGGUUGAUUAGCGCCGGCUAACUACGUGCCAGCAGCCGCGGUAAUACGUAGGGCGCGAGCGUUGUCCGGAAUUAUUGGGCGUAAAGGGCUUGUAGGUGGCUAGUUGCGUCUGUCGUGAAAGCUCAUGGCUUAACUGUGGGUUUGCGGUGGGUACGGGCUGGCUUGAGUGCAGUAGGGGAGGCUGGAAUUCCUGGUGUAGCGGUGGAAUGCGCAGAUAUCAGGAGGAAUACCGGUGGCGAAGGCGGGUCUCUGGGCUGUUACUGACGCUGAGGAGCGAAAGCGUGGGGAGCGAACAGG
rnacentral:rRNA from 1 species